rnacentral:antisense_RNA from 1 species
ACAGAUUUGGUGGCAGCGGUCUUGUACACCCUGUUACCUCGGGUUAGAAAGCCUGAGAAACUUCUAACCUUCGAAAGAACCCACGCCUGAGAACGUGGGUUUUUUC